UUAAGCAGCCAUAUGAGACUGAAUACACCUGAUCUCAUCAGCUCUUGAAAGGUAGGCAGUCCUGGACAUGGUUAGUAGUGCUUGGAUGGGCAGCCAUUUUGGAAUGCCAGGCACCACAGAGU
rnacentral:rRNA from 1 species